rnacentral:tRNA from 1 species
GAUUUCGUGGUGUAACGGUAGCACACUCGGCGUGUAUUCGAGAAGUUCAGGUUCCAGUCCCGUCGAGAGCG